GCAGUGGUGGUUCACUGCUAGGAUUCUCGCCUUCUAUGCCGGAGACCCAGGUUCGAUUCCCGGCCGAUGUA
rnacentral:tRNA from 1 species